rnacentral:rRNA from 1 species
CGCACAUUGCACCCCCUGGUAUUCCGGGGGGUAUGCCUGUUCGAGCGUCACUAAACCCCUCAAGCCUAGCUUGGUAUUGGGGCGCGCCGGCCCCGGCGCCCCCUAAAAUCAGUGGCGGCUCGGCCCGGACUCCAAGCGUAGUAGAACACCUCGCUGGGGAGUAGGGGCUGGGAGCCUGCCAGAAGCCUAUCAACCUUCUAAGUUUGACCUCGGAUCAGGUAGGGAUACCCGCUGAACUUAAGCAUAUCAAUAAGCGGAGGAAAAGAAACCAAUAGGGAUUGCCUCAGUAACGGCGAGUGAAGCGGCAACAGCUCAAAUUUGAAAUCUGGCUCCGGCCCGAGUUGUAAUUUGUAGAGGAUGCUUAGGGUGUGGCUCCGGUCUAAGUUCCUUGGAAUAGGGCGUCACAGAGGGUGAGAACCCCGUAUGUGACCGGCUGCCUCCGCCCGUGUUAAGCUCCUUCGACGAGUCGAGUUGCUUGGGAAUGCAGCUCUAAAUGGGUGGUAAAUUUCAUCUAAAGCUAAAUACUGGCCAGAGACCGAUAGCGCACAAGUAGAGUGAUCGAAAGAUGAAAAGCACUUUGGAAAGAGAGUCAAAUAGUACGUGAAAUUGUUGAAAGGGAAGCGCUUGCAACCAGACUUGCGCGCGGCUGAUCAUCCGGCGUUCUCGCCGGUGCACUCGGCCGCGCUCAGGCCAGCAUCAGUUCUGGCGGUUGGAUAAAGGCCCGGGGAAUGUGGCUCCUCUCGGGGAGUGUUAUAGCCCCGGGCGCAAUGCAGCUUGCCGGGACUGAGGACCGCGCUCCGGCUAGGAUGCUGGCGUAAUGGUCGUAAGCGGCCCGUCUUGAAACACGGACCAAGGAGUCUAACAUCUAUGCGAGUGUUUGGGUGUCAAACCCAUGCGCGGAAUGAAAGUGAACGGAGGUGAGAGCCCUCAAGGGUGCAUCAUCGACCGAUCCUGAUGUCUUCGGAUGGAUUUGAGUAAGAGCAUAGCUGUUGGGACCCGAAAGAUGGUGAACUAUGCGUGAUUAGGGUGAAGCCAGAGGAAACUCUGGUGGAGGCUCGUAGGGGUUCUGACGUGCAAAUCGAUCUCAAAAAUUGCGUAUAGGGGCGAAAGACUAAUCGAACCAUCUGGAGGACCAACUGCUGGAUGGGA